UUCUUAUCCAGAGCGGUGGAGGGACUGGCCCGAUGAAGCCCGGCAACCGUCUUGCGGGGAGGCGACUUCGGUCACGUGGGGUGCGGAGCAGGCCCCGGUCGAAAGAGCUUCCGCGCGGGACCCGGUGCCAACUCCUGCGGAAGGCGCUUUUCGCGUGUCACAGGCG
rnacentral:ncRNA from 2 species